GAUGGUGUGUAAGACGCAAUUCAAAAGGUUUCUACGGAAAUUCCACAGCUCAAGACCAAAGAAAAGAAUCAAAGCUAUAGGUACUUUAUUAAGCAGA